AGUGAACGCUGGCGGUAGGCCUAACACAUGCAAGUCGAACGGCAGCACAGUAAGAGCUUGCUCUUACGGGUGGCGAGUGGCGGACGGGUGAGGAAUACAUCGGAAUCUACCUUUUCGUGGGGGAUAACGUAGGGAAACUUACGCAAAUACCGCAUACGACCUACGGGUGAAAGCAGGGGAUCUUCGGACCUUGCGCGAUUGAAUGAGCCGAUGUCGGAUUAGCUAGUUGGCGGGGUAAAGGCCCACCAAGGCGACGAUCCGUAGCUGGUCUGAGAGGAUGAUCAGCCACACUGGAACUGAGACACGGUCCAGACUCCUACGGGAGGCAGCAGUGGGGAAUAUUGGACAAUGGGCGCAAGCCUGAUCCAGCCAUACCGCGUGGGUGAAGAAGGCCUUCGGGUUGUAAAGCCCUUUUGUUGGGAAAGAAAAGCAGCAGGUUAAUACCCCGCUGUUCUGACGGUACCCAAAGAAUAAGCACCGGCUAACUUCGUG
rnacentral:rRNA from 1 species